rnacentral:lncRNA from 1 species
CCACAAAGCACCGGGGAGGCGGGCAGGGCAGGGGCCCUUCACCCUGUUUUACAAAUGAGAGAAUUGGGGUGCAGAGAGGUUAAGUGACUCGCCUAAGGACUCUCAGCAAGUCAGUGGCUCAUGGCAGUCCUGGGGCAGACAUCCAGUAUCGUGUUCCAGCAACAAGAAAGUGACUGAGAGAAGGGGACCGAAUUUAGUCCACAGUACUACUAAAGGGCAGCCAUCAGGACCUGUCUCCAAGUCCAGCCUUCCUGAUACCAGCAGUCCUAGCAGGAGCACCUCCUGGACCUGCCACGCAGGGACCCAGGGCCCGGAAGGGGAGCUCCACUCCAGAGAAUCCCGGACACCCUAUGGAAGAGAUGCCACAUGGUAAUCACAUACACAGCCAUCUCAGAAGCUCCAUGUUUAUAUUAUUUCAACAAGUACUGAAGAAGUAAUAUUUGCUGGCACGAAGGAAAAAUAUUAAAUACAAGGAGUUCCUUAAAGACUGGGAGGGGAGACAGAUGUCAUACACACAUGCUGGUGGAUAGUAACCAGAAAGCCAGCAAUCUCGGGCCAAACACAGGCAUCUUCUCUGUUGAUAAAGGGAUUGCUGUGUUAUAGCACCACAUUCUCAUCUCGGUCACAUGGGACAGGAAGCAGGAGGCCACCACCCUGCUUGUUACUGUAAUACAAACCCAAACUGCCUCUGCAG